AUGUACCAACCCAACCCGGGUAUGUCCUUAAACUACGUCCAGGACCCGGGUAUGGGCACUGUGAAUGUCAUCUCCCUGUGUGUGGUAGGACACAGCAAAGCGGAUGUCAUUCCAGAUCUAGAGUGGACCCCAACUGGGGAAGUUAUUCCACCUUACAGAAAACCGCAGCCAAAUAACACUAGACCCUCAUAGUGUUGUGUUCCUGCCGGUGAGUAAGGUUGCCAGAGCUCAACGAGGGUGCGGAGUGUUAGGGUUGGCAACGCGCAUGUAACUCCUCUGGAGUUGCAGGCGUCCAUAGGCUACAGAGACUGCUUACCAUCAGGCGGGCCGUAUA